UACAGAGGUCUCAACCGUUGUUCGGAUUCAUUGGGCGUAAAGGGUGCGUAGGCGGUCGGGUAAGUCGGAUGUGAAAUCCCAGGGCUCAACCCUGGAACUGCAUUCGAUACUGCCUGGCUAGGGUACUGGAGAGGAGACUGGAAUUUACGGUGUAGCAGUGAGAUGCGUAGAUAUCGUAAGGAAGACCAGUGGCGAAGGCGAGUCUCUGGACAGUUACCGACGCUGAGGCACGAAGGUCAGGGGAGCAAACGGG
rnacentral:rRNA from 1 species